GUAAGCGGUUUCCUUCCGAUUCCUAAUCUGGGGGUCGCGCGUUCGAAUCGCGCCGGGAUCACCA
rnacentral:tRNA from 1 species